GACGGGGGGGGCAAGUGUUCUUCGGAAUCACUGGGCUUAAAGCGUGUGUAGGCGGAUCGUUAAGUACCUUGUGAAAUCCCACGGCUUAACCGUGGAACUGCUUGGUAUACUGGCGAUCUUGAGCCACUUAGGGGCUACCGGAACAAAUGGUGGAGCGGUGAAAUGCGUAGAUAUCAUUUGGAACGCCAAUGGUGAAAACAGGUAGCUGGGAGUGUGCUGACGCUGAGACACGAAAGCCAGGGGAGCAAACGGG
rnacentral:rRNA from 1 species